CAUUUUUUAUUUUUUUUUAUAUUAAAUAAAGUCUGCCCCCUGAUUUAUUUUAAAGGGCCGCAGUAUUCUGACUGUGCAAAGGUAGCAUAAUCAUUAGCCUUUUAAUUAGAGGAUUGUAUGAAUGGCUUAACAAUUUAGUUUUUUAUUAUUAAUAAAGUUAGAGGUUAGAUUUUUAGUGAAAAUUCUUUAUUAAUCCUUAGGGACGAUAAGACCCUAUAGAUCUUUACUUUGUUACACUUGAUUCUUAUAAUAGGGGGUUUAUAAUUAAUUUAUAUGAGGUUUUUCUGGGGUAGAAUAAGAAUUAUUUUAAUUUCUUUAAGUUUAUAAGUUUUUAUGAUCUAGGUUGUUUUAAUUUAAAAAGUUACCUUAGGGAUAACAGCGUUAUAUUCCUGGUGAGUUCAUAUUAAUAGGAUAUCUUGCGACCUCGAUGUUGAAUUAUUAUUAAGGGUUGGGGCAGUAUUUUUCCUUUUUAGUCUGUUCGACUAUUAAAAGUUUACAUGAUUUGA
rnacentral:rRNA from 1 species